rnacentral:lncRNA from 12 species
UCCUUAUGUUCACUGGGGAGACAGUGAAGAUAAUGCUCACACCAGACACUCUCCAGGGCUUUGGCACCACAGAAAUUAACUUGUUGGACAUGCAGAACACUGUGCUCUGUCAGCAGUGGGACCUGCCCACCGGAAAUCAUCUGCCACACCCGCCCAUCAGCCCUGGGAAAGGUUUCCAGGGCAUCAAGGGCCUGUCAUGGUUAGCACAGCAGGAACAUAGAUCCUGCCAUGGAGAAGCCCCAUGUCACCAACAGGAUAUUACCACUAUACACCCAGGGCCAUCACUUAUGUCCCAAGAGCACUCCUACAAGCACAUAGGUCAGAACCAAGGGAACAGGUUCCAUCUCACAACAAAAGAUCUCCAGGAACAAAGCAUUUAUGGCUCAUGUGAACCAAGUUCGGAUUGGAAAGGGCUCAGGGGGCUCUGCCUGUUUCGUCAAGGGAACUCCUGGGGGUCCAUUAUAACCCGUGGGUCUGUGCGUGUCAGGCAUUUGAUUGCCCAGGCCCAUGAGGAGUACAUGAGCCAAGGCAGAGAUGCAGAGCCAGGAUGGCUUGGCUGGGAUGCACUUUGGCACCUGUGACAUCACAGGACCUGUGUCUCAAUGGGGGCAGCUAUCAGCUCA